UACAUGGGGUGCAAACGUUGUUCGGAAUCAUUGGGCGUAAAGCGCGCGUAGGCGGUUACUUAAGUUGGAUGUGAAAGCCCUCGGCUUAACCGAGGAAGUGCAUCCAAAACUGAGUAGCUAGAGUACGAAAGAGGGUCGCGGAAUUCCCGGUGUAGAGGUGAAAUUCGUAGAUAUCGGGAGGAACACCGGUGGCGAAGGCGGCGACCUGGUCCUUGACUGACGCUGAGGCGCGAAAGCGUGGGGAGCAAACAGG
rnacentral:rRNA from 1 species